rnacentral:rRNA from 1 species
AUUGAACGCUGGCGGCGUGCUUAACACAUGCAAGUCGAUCGGUAACGCGGGGGCAACCCUGGCGACGAGAGGCGGACGGGUGAGGAACGCUUGGGAAUCUGCCCUUCAGCGGGGGACAACACGGGGAAACUCGUGCUAAUACCGCAUACGCUCCACGGAGGAAAGCCGGGGACCGCAAGGCCUGGCACUGAAGGAUGAGCCCAAGUCGGAUUGGCUAGUUGGCGGGGUAACGGCCCACCAAGGCGACGAUCCGUAGCUGGUCUGCGAGGGCGGUCGGCCACACUGGGACGGGGGCACGGCCCAGACUCCAACGGGAGGCAGCAGUGGGGAAUAUUGGACAAGGGAGGCAACCCUGAUCCAGCCAUGCCGCGUGAGUGGAGAAGGCCUUCGGGUUGUAAAGCUCUUUCGGCCGGGAAGAAAUCGUAUCAGCUAAUACCUGGUGCGGAUGACGGUACCGGCAUAAGAAGCACCGGCUAACUACGUGCCAGCCGCCGCCGUAAAAC